GCCCUCUACGCGACUCAAGGGAGGCGACGACCUGGGCCUCGCCGACCUAGGGGUCGACUGCGCCCCCCUCUUCAUGGCCUUCAGGGAUGCGAGCCCCACUGAAGCCACCUUGUGCUUUCGGCUGAUGAGGAAGAUAACACAAAUUAGAAGAAAGAGAAAAACAAAAAAUCAAAAGAAAGAUCAGAAAACCUACGCAUACCUCGCCUG
rnacentral:lncRNA from 1 species